CCUACGGGAGGCAGCAGUGGGGAAUAUUGCACAAUGGGGGAAACCCUGAUGCAGCGACGCCGCGUGAAGGAAGAAGGAUUUAGGUAUGUAAACUUCUAUCAGCAGGGAAGAAAAUGACGGUACCUGACUAAGAAGCCACGGCUAACUACGUGCCAGCAGCCGCGGUAAUACGUAGGGGGCAAGCGUUAUCCGGAUUUACUGGGUGUAAAGGGAGCGUAGGCGGCGUUGCAAGUCAGAAGUGAAAGCCCGGGGCUCAACUCCGGGACUGCUAUUGAAACUGUGUUGCUAGAUUGCAGGAGAGGUAAGUGGAAUUCCUGGUGUAGCGGUGAAAUGCGUAGAUAUUAGGAGGAACACCAGUGGCGAAGGCGGCUUACUGGACUGUAAAUGACGCUGAGGCUCGAAAGCGUGGGGAGCAAACAGGAUUAGAUACCCUGGUAGUC
rnacentral:rRNA from 1 species